rnacentral:rRNA from 1 species
AGAGUUUGAUCCUGGCUCAGGAUGAACGCUAGCGGCAGGCUUAAUACAUGCAAGUCGUGGGGCAGCAGGUUUGUAGCAAUACAAAUGCUGGCGACCGGCAAACGGGUGCGUAACACGUACGCAACUUACCCAUUACAGGGGAAUAGCCCAGGGAAACUUGGAUUAAUACCCCAUAUUAUAUAGGAUUGGCAUCAGUCUUAUAUCAAAGCUUCGGCGGUAAUGGAUGGGCGUGCGGUUGAUUAGAUAGUUGGCGGGGUAACGGCCCACCAAGUCUACGAUCAAUAGCUGAUGUGAGAGCAUGAUCAGCCACACGGGCACUGAGACACGGGCCCGACUCCUACGGGAGGCAGCAGUAAGGAAUAUUGGGCAAUGGACGAAAGUCUGACCCAGCCAUGCCGCGUGAAGGAUGAAGGUCCUCUGGAUUGUAAACUUCUUUUAUCUGGGGCGAAAAUCACCCUUUCUAGGGUGCUUGACAGUACCAGAGGAAUAAGCACCGGCUAACUCCGUGCCAGCAGCCGCGGUAAUACGGAGGGUGCAAGCGUUAUCCGGAUUUACUGGGUUUAAAGGGUGCGUAGGCGGGCAGGUAAGUCAGUGGUGAAAUCCCCGAG